UAGCAUUUCUCAAGACCUGACUUAUGGAGCACUUGUAACCUGAGAUAUUUCAGUUGAAGGAAGAAAUAGCUCUUCUCCUAAGAUGGAAUCUGUGGUUUGGGAAUGUGGUUGAUCAACUUGAUAUGUUGGCCAAAUGUGCCCCAUGUAAUAAAAUGAAAAGAAGAGACAAGAUGAUGUCAUUUUCCCAUAUUGUGAAACCAAAAACAAACGCCUUUUGUGAGACCAAGCUAACAAACCUCUGACGGUGCGAAGAGUAUUUAACUGUUUGAAGAAUUUAACAGUAAGAUACAGAAGAAGUACCUUCGAGCUGAGACCUGCAGGUGUAUAAAUAUCUAAAAUACAUAUUGAAUAGGCCUGAUCAUCUGAAUCUCCUUCAGACCCAGGAAGGAUGGCUAUGACUUGGAUUGUCUUCUCUCUUUGGCCCUUGACUGUGUUCAUGGGGCAUAUAGGUGGGCACAGUUUGUUUUCUUGUGAACCUAUUACCUUGAGGAUGUGCCAAGAUUUGCCUUAUAAUACUACCUUCAUGCCUAAUCUUCUGAAUCAUUAUGACCAACAGACAGCAGCUUUGGCAAUGGAGGAGGCUCUGGAAAAUAAUAUACAUCAGUGCAGAAAC
rnacentral:lncRNA from 1 species